GCCAGCAGCCAUAUCACCCUGCAACUCACAACUGGCAGCCCACUGAAGCUCAGCAGGUGUGAGCCUGGUCAGUACCUGGAUGGGAGACUUUCUGGGAAAAACUAAGGUUGCUGCUGGAA
rfam:Lepisosteus oculatus linkage group LG13, whole genome shotgun sequence.